AUUGAACGCUGGCGGCAGGCUUAAACACUGCAAGUCGAACGGUAGCAGGAGAAAGCUUGCUUUCUUGCUGACGAGUGACGGACGGGUGAGUAAUGCUUGGGAAUCUGGCUUAUGGAGGGGGAUAACUACGGGAAACUGUAGCUAAUACCGCGUAGUAUCGGAAGAUGAAAGUGCGGGACCGCAAGGCCGCAUGCCAUGGGAUGAGCCCAAGUGGGAUUAGGUAGUUGGUGGGGUAAAGGCCUACCAAGCCUGCGAUCUCUAGCUGGUCUGAGAGGAUGGCCAGCCACACUGGAACUGAGACACGGUCCAGACUCCUACGGGAGGCAGCAGUGGGGAAUAUUGCGCAAUGGGGGGAACCCUGACGCAGCCAUGCCGCGUGAAUGAAGAAGGCCUUCGGGUUGUAAAGUUCUUUCGGUAUUGAGGAAGGUUGAUGUGUUAAUAGUACAUCAAAUUGACGUUAAAUACAGAAGAAGCACCGGCCAACUCCGUGCCAGCAGCCGCGGUAAUACGGAGGGUGCGAGCGUUAAUCGGAAUAACUGGGCGUAAAGGGCACGCAGGCGGUUAUUUAAGUGAGGUGUGAAAGCCCCGGGCUUAACCUGGGAAUUGCAUUUCAGACUGGGUAACUAGAGUACUUUAGGGAGGGGUAGAAUUCCACGUGUAGCGGUGAAAUGCGUAGAGAUGUGGAGGAAUACCGAAGGCGAAGGCAGCCCCUUGGGAAUGUACUGACGCUCAUGUGCGAAAGCGUGGGGAGCAAACAGG
rnacentral:rRNA from 1 species